GCCUCAGUCCUUCGCCGUCCCUCGCCGUCCUUCGCCAUCGCACGCCACCGCACCCCAUCUCUCGAAAUCUGCAGACAUCUUGAUUUUUCCCACGCUGUCUGUCAGGUCUCCGCCGCCACUCGACGCCAGGGCGCCGGGUGAGUCCACAGCAGGGCGCAUGGUCGGCUCCACUCUCACCAUCGGGGGAAACUGAGGCCCCGGGGAAGGCGGCCAGAGAGGUCAGGCCCUGUCCUUGGUGCAGUGUCUCGUCCUCUUUGCCGGAGUGAGCCCCCCAGGAUUCGCGUGUCCUCGGGAAAGACACUGGCAGGCCUUGUGGGCUGUGCUGCACCUCGGACGGCUUCGCACCAGCCAGCGCCCUCUCUCUCCUGCAGCACUCUGAUCUGCACCCCCUGAGGGGCUUCCACUGUCCGCGGGGUGAGAAUGCCCCUGGGAGUGUCACAUGACUGCCGCCCCAUGUGUGUGAGAGGCGUCCUCUGGGAGAGCAUGGAUCCUGAGGUCCCAGGAUUGUCAGCUGACCUCUGUCCUGUGUGCCCAGUGGCCCCAGGU
rnacentral:lncRNA from 1 species